UUUGCUUCACCUCUUUCUCCCCAAAGAGCUUCUCGUCUACCUACUUCGGGGGGACCACAACCUCGCACGUGCCUCUGCAGGGCGCCAGCAACCCAGCCUCUCCGCACGCAUCACCUGAGCGCAAGUCAACGGGCCGAACACCGCCGUGCCAGGAAAAACGAGAUUUAUCACAACGCCUAACCAGACGCUGACACAUCUGGGUCACGACCGCAUCACGCACGGGGAAGGUUUACAGAAAGUGCACAGUUCCCGAAGUCGUACCGAAUUUCACAAAGGGAACUGCUGAAACAUAAAGGGUUCGUGGCGAGUAACAGCCCGGCGGGCGCACACAUAUGGUUUUCCUUUCUGCCGCCUGGCGCAGACGCACGGCACGGCGCACAAACCCAGAGCUCGGCUGCGGCGACAGCCCGGGGAAGCGGGGCCGAACCGGGAACUGCUGGAGGAGGCUCGGGAGCCACAGAGCUGCCCCCAUGCACGGGGGCUUCCUCCUGCGGGCGGUGAUCGGGGACUUUCGGCUCUCUUGCAAAAAAUGGGUGGCGACAGAUGAAAGGCGCGCGUGCAAUCGCGGAUUUCUGCGCUCCGUUACAGAUGUGCAGAGCCGGAGUAACUCCAGGACGUGAGCCAGCGUUUGGGAGGUGAGGGGCAGCACCUUGCCAUCAGACACGAGCAUCCCCCCAGCAAACAGCGUUGGAGCUGCCUGGGAGCCACCCAGCACAAACCUCAGCUGAGCCAGCAGCAGAGAACAGAGCAGCGUGCUCUCUUUCCUGGUCUUAAAUCCUUAAAUCACAUCCCAAGGGUCCCGACAAGAAAUUCGUCAUUUUGGGGCAGUGUUUCCCUUUUCGUAUCCUGCCCGCCUGCAUCUGGAGCUUUCAGUCCCUGCUGUGCAAUCACGCAGGGGACCCGGAGGAGGUAAAAAGACACCCUGUCUCCAGCAACGGGACUUCUUCCAGCUGCUUGCACGGGAGCAGGCGUAUAUCAUCCUCAGCUGAUACGCUGCCCUGGAAGAGGAGGACUUCAUGUUUACCA